rnacentral:rRNA from 1 species
CAGUCGCCGCGGGAAUACAGAGGAUGCAAGCGUUAUCCGGAAUGAUUGGGCGUAAAGCGUCUGUAGGUGGCUUUUCAAGUCCGCCGUCAAAUCCCCGAGCUCAACCCUGGACAGGCAGUGGAAACUACCAAGCUGGAGUACGGUAGAGGCAGAUAGAAUUUCCGGUGGAGCGGUGAAAUGCGUUGAGAUCGGAAAGAACACCAACGGCGAAAGCACUCAGCUGGGCCAACACUGACACUGAGAGACGAAAGCUAGGGGAGCAAAUGGGAUUAGAUACCCCGGUAGUCCCUGUCUCUUAUAC